rnacentral:tRNA from 1 species
GGCUCGGUAGCUUAGUUGGUAAAGCGCUCGUCUAGCAUACAAGAGUCCUGGGUUCGAAUCCCAGCCAACCA